AGAACGAACGCUGGCGGCAGGCCUAAUACAUGCAAGUCGAGCGCCCAGUAAUGGGAGCGGCGGACGGGUGCGUAACACGUGGGAACGUACCCUUUGGUUCGGGAUAACUCAGGGAAACUUGAGCUAAUACCGAUUAAGCCCGAGAGGGGAAAGAUUUAUCGCCAAAGGAUCGGCCCGCGUUCGAUUAGCUAGUUGGUGGGGUAAUGGCUCACCAAGGCAACGAUCGAUAGCUGGUUUGAGAGAACGACCAGCCACACUGGGACUGAGACACGGCCCAGACUCCUACGGGAGGCAGCAGUAGGGAAUCUUGGACAAUGGGGGAAACCCUGAUCCAGCCAUGCCGCGUGAGUGAUGAAGGCCUUCGGGUUGUAAACUCUUUCGCGCACGACGAUAAUGACGGUAGUGCGAGAAGAAGCUCGGCUAACGUUCGUGCCAGCAGCCGC
rnacentral:rRNA from 1 species